rnacentral:rRNA from 1 species
UACGUAGGGUGCGAGCGUUAAUCGGAAUUACUGGGCGUAAAGCGUGCGCAGGCUGUUUUGUAAGUCAGAUGUGAAAUCCCCGAGCUCAACUUGGGAACUGCGUUUGAAACUACAAGACUAGAAUAGGUCAGAGGGGGGUAGAAUUCCACGUGUAGCAGUGAAAUGCGUAGAGAUGUGGAGGAAUAUCAAUGGCGAAGGCAGCCCCCUGGGAUCAUAUUGACGCUCAUGCACGAAAGCGUGGGGAGCAAACAGG